UGCUCCCUGUAUCUCUCAACCUCUGGACGGGAGUUCACCCCCAUGCCGGCUGCUCCGCACUGACGUGUCCGCUUUUUUCUUUUGCGCUCUCUCCACUCUCUUCCGGAUGGGCUGGGGUGUCAAGCGAGAGGCUGGUCAGCCGGGGUGCGUGCUGUGGCCGGAAAGAGGGAGAGGAAUUUACAGCUCUGCAGUGGCAUAAUGACUAAAACUACUUCUGUGGGAACACCUUGGAAAAUGGUUCCCUCGCAGAGCAGCAUGGUGAAGCGCGUUGAAGCCAUUGUUGUUGGUAAUGGUGACAUCAGCACCAGCUUCCAGCAGCACAGACAGCAUGUCAUCCCUCUUCUUGCUGAUGGCAUCAUGCAGAGGCGUGUCUCCCUCUGAAUCCUGCAGGGGGCAGCACCAAAAUACACACUCACUUUAAAGCAUGAAACAAUGUUAAUAAAUCCAAAGAAGCAUUCCUGAAGUUGAUACACAGAAUAAAAAAGAUGAACAAAAAGA